ACUCCUGCCACUGGGUCCCUGAAUGUCCCUCCUUGAGCGGGCAAUGAGAGAGUAAGCCCCUCACUUUCCUCCUUCUUCCUGCUGCUUUUGCCACCGCCUCCCACUUCUUGAUAAGAAUCUGAGUGAAGCUCCUGCCAGGACACGGCUGGAUCUCUUAAAACACAAGGGGAAAUGUUUAUGUUUCCUCUCCACCCUGCCGGGUCACCUCCUCCGGGGUACUGCCAGCCAAGGGCACUGCCUGGUGAGACGAAUCAGGGAUCCUCACACGGCCCUGCAGGAACUCCCGCUGGCUGGCAUCCUGGCAAUGAGAGAGGAGGAGCAGGAGCGGAUGAACUGCUGUUGCCCCGACUGCUUGAAUGUGUGCACAGAGCGGGCUGAGGUACUUAGGCUGUGCUCUAGAGCUGCAACUACUGAGCCCUCGUGCCACAACUACUAAAGCCCGAGAGCCCGAGAGCCCUAGUGCCUAUGCUCUGCAAUAAGAGAAGCCACCUCAACGAGAAGCCCGAGCACACUGCAACUAGAGAAUAGCCCCCGCGCCCCACAACUAGAGAAAAGUCUUCACAGCACUGAAGA